UGGCCUGAUAAGCUAUGUUAAUGGAGAU
rnacentral:piRNA from 1 species